rnacentral:tRNA from 1 species
GAUAAAAUGGCUGAAAUUUAGGCAAUAAAUUGUAAAUUUAUUUAUGAAGUAAUCUUCUUUUAUCA